rnacentral:rRNA from 1 species
GGCGGGACACGUGGUAUCCUGUCUGAAUAUGGGGGGACCAUCCUCCAAGGCUAAAUACUCCUGACUGACCGAUAGUGAACCAGUACCGUGAGGGAAAGGCGAAAAGAACCCCGGCGAGGGGAGUGAAAAAGAACCUGAAACCGUGUACGUACAAGCAGUGGGAGCACAGGUUUACCUGUGUGACUGCGUACCUUUUGUAUAAUGGGUCAGCGACUUAUAUUCUGU